GAUGAACGCUGGCGGCGUGCUUAACACAUGCAAGUCGAACGGGGCUCUUUGGAUCGAGACUUCGGUCAAGUGAAUCUGAGCUUAGUGGCGGACGGGUGAGUAACGCGUGAGCAACCUGCCUUUCAGAGGGGGACAACAGUUGGAAACGACUGCUAAUACCGCAUAAUGUGUUUUGGGGGCAUCCCUGAAAUACCAAAGAUUUAUCGCUGAGAGAUGGGCUCGCGGCCGAUUAGGUAGUUGGUGAGAUAACAGCCCACCAAGCCGACGAUCGGUAGCCGGACUGAGAGGUUGAUCGGCCACAUUGGGACUGAGACACGGCCCAG
rnacentral:rRNA from 1 species